AGAGAGCGAGCCGGCAAGAGUGAGCGCGCAUGAGCCUACCCCAUUCCAAAAUAUUUCUGACAAAAUCUGGCACUCCUGGUUCUAAUCAAAAUACUGAACUUUGGAACAAAUUAACAUUCCACAGCCUUGCAGGGAAGGAGAACUCAGCCGAGACAACUUCAGUUCAUAACCACAACAAAAAUAGCUUCUCCCGGGGAAGACACAGUCUGCUAACAAGGUCACUUUUGUUUUGCUCCCCCUGCCAUCUGGCUGAGUGGCACCAGGGGCUGGAUUUGGUACCGACUUCUUCUGCCGAGAGUGGAUGGGAGCCGGGUGGCACUGCAGAAGGCUUCUCAGCCUCCUGGCAAAGGGUGCCGGCACAAAGUUACCUUCAGACACCCCCCAGCAAGCAUGCGGGCAGAUGGAGCCCCGGUUUCACCCAGCCCGACUCAGCUCUGAGCUCCGCGUGUGCAGAAGGUGUGACACAGCAGACAGCAACAAGCAGGAUGGAAUCACCUGCACUCGUGGGUGAAGAGAGCAGAUGUCACUACCUACGGGCAUCAGGCUGGAGUUCCCAAAGAACGUGAGUGCUCUCUGACCUGGUAGCCCAGGAGGGCUUCCAUGUAGAAAGACCCCUCAACAGCCCUCUACAGAACUUCCAACGUGACAUAAAUAGUCUUCCCAGAGUUACUUCAUUUUGAAGGUGUGGAGCUGGGAUUUGAACACAAGCCUUUUGCUUACGAAGAUUCUGCUGCUUCUUCUAUACCAACGAUUUUCAAUCUUUUAAAAAAGGAUCAAAAGCCAUGAAUAUCCACAAGGGGUUCACGGCCUAAUAAAACCAUGUCCCUCUCAUGAGGAGUCUGUGUGUGCUAAGUCGCUUGAGUCUUGUCUGACUCUUUGUGACCCUAUGGACUGUAGCCAGCCAGGCUUCUCUGUUCUUGGGAUUUUCCAGUCAAGAAUACUGGAGUGGGUUGCCAUUCCCUUCUCCAGGGCAUCUUCCCAACCCAGGGAUCGAACCCACGUCUUAUGUCUCCUGCAUUGACAAGUCAAUGUCAAUGUCUCCUGC
ensembl:lncRNA